rnacentral:rRNA from 1 species
AUGGAAGUUGCAUUAGCUAGCGUUGCCGUAAGUGUUAGCUUAAAAGUGGCUGCAUCUCCAGCCUUGAAGAAGCUGCUUGCUAAUGCUUCAACGUACCUUGGAGUGGAUAUGAUGCGUGAGCUCCAUGAACUGGAGACCACUAUCAUGCCGCAACUCGAGCUGGUGAUUGAAGCAGCAAACAAGGGAAACCACAGGCCCAAGUUGGACAAAUGGCUUCAGGAACUCAAAGAAGGCUUCUACAUGGCUGAAGACUUGCUGGACAAGCAUGAAUACAACCUUCUCAAGCGCCAAGAAAAGGGCAAGGAUUCCUUAUCGGCCAAUGCUUCCUCCAUCAGCAGCACUUUUAUGAAGCCUCUGCGUGUUGUGUCGAGUAGGAUGUCCAAUCUGAGCUCAGAUAACAGAAAGCUAAUUCAACAGUUAAAUGAACUCAAGGCAACCCUGGCAAAAGCCAAGGACUUCCGUGAACUGCUCUGCAUACCAGCUGGUUAUAAUGUGUGGAGCUCCACCAUACCAUCCGUUGUUCCUGAGACUACAUCAAUACCACCUCUCAAAGUGAUUGGUCGUGACAAGGAUCGGGAUCAUCUUAUAGAUCGUCUUACCAAGACAACUGCUACUACUAAAUCUAAUACAACUAUGUACUCGAGUUUCGCUAUUGUUGGACCUGGAGGCAUCGGAAAGUCCACCUUGGCACAACUUGUUUACAAUAGCAAAAGGAUAAAAAAUUAUUUUGAUGUGAGAAUGUGGGUAAGCGUAUCACGCAAACUUGAUGUACGUCGUCAUACACGGGAGAUCAUCGAGUCUGCCUCUCAGGGGGAAUGCCCACGCAUUGACAACCUUGAUACAUUGCAGCGCAAGUUGGCAGACAUACUGCAAGACUCAGGGAAAUUCCUUCUUGUGUUGGAUGAUGUUUGGUUUGAACCUGGCAGUGAGGGGGAAUGGGACCAACUAUUAGCACCACUAGUUUCCCAACAGUCGGGAAGCAAAGUAUUGGUAACUUCUCGAAGGGAUACAUUUCCAGCUGCUCUUUGCUGUGGAGAAGUGCGUUCACUGAAAAACAUAGGAAAUGCUCAGUUCUUGGCACUCUUCAAACACCAUGCAUUCUCUGGACCAGAAAUCAGAAAUCCACAGCUGCGUGAAAGUCUGGAAGAUUUUGCGAAGAAGAUUGCUAAAAGGCUUGGAAAGUCUCCUUUGGCAGCAAAAGUUGUGGGUUCCCAACUGAAAGGGAAAACAUGUAUCGCUGCAUGGAAGGAUGCUCUAACUAUAAAGAUUGACAAAUUAAGUGAGCCCAUGAGAGCUCUGUUGUGA